GAUGAAGAACGCAGUGAAAUGCGAAAAGUAGUGUGAAUUGCAGAAUUCAGUGAAUCAUCGAGUCUUUGAACGCACAUUGCGCCCCCUGGUAUUCCGGGGGGCAUGCCUGUCCGAGCGUCAUUGCUGCCCUCAAGCACGGCUUGUGUGUUGGGCCUCCGUCCUCCUCCCGGGGGACGGGCCCGAAAGGCAGCGGCGGCACCGCGUCCGGUCCUCGAGCGUAUGGGGCUUCGUCACCCGCUCUUGUAGGCCCGGCCGGCGCUUGCCGACACAUCAAUCUUUUUUCCAGGUUGACCUCGGAUCAGGUAGGGAUACCCGCUGAACUUAAGCAUAUCAAUAAGCGGAGGA
rnacentral:misc_RNA from 1 species